GCCUGGGUGGCUCAGUGGUUGAGCGUCUGCCUUCAGCUCAAGUCGUGACCCAGGGGUCCUGGGAUCGAAUCCCACAUCAGGCU
rnacentral:tRNA from 1 species